rnacentral:rRNA from 1 species
GAGAACGCUGGCGGCGUGCCUAAUACAUGCAAGUCGUAGCGACAGAAUCAAGGAGCUUGCUCCUUUGACGUUAGCGGCGGACGGGUGAGUAACACGUGGAUAACCUACCUAUAAGACUGGGAUAACUUCGGGAAACCGGAGCUAAUACCGGAUAACAUAUUGAACCGCAUGGUUCAAUAGUGAAAGGCGGCUUUGCNUGUCACUUAUAGAUGGAUCCGCGCCGUAUUAGCUAGUUGGUAAGGUAACGGCUUACCAAGGCAACGAUACGUAGCCGACCUGAGAGGGUGAUCGGCCACACUGGAACUGAGACACGGUCCAGACUCCUACGGGAGGCAGCAGUAGGGAAUCUUCCGCAAUGGGCGAAAGCCUGACGGAGCAACGCCGCGUGAGUGAUGAAGGUCUUCGGAUCGUAAAACUCUGUUAUCAGGGAAGAACAAAUGUGUAAGUAACUGUGCACAUCUUGACGGUACCUGAUCAGAAAGCCACGGCUAACUACGUGCCAGCAGCCGCGGUAAUACGUAGGUGGCAAGCGUUAUCCGGAAUUAUUGGGCGUAAAGCGCGCGUAGGCGGUUUUUUAAGUCUGAUGUGAAAGCCCACGGCUCAACCGUGGAGGGUCAUUGGAAACUGGAAAACUUGAGUGCAGAAGAGGAAAGUGGAAUUCCAUGUGUAGCGGUGAAAUGCGCAGAGAUAUGGAGGAACACCAGUGGCGAAGGCGACUUUCUGGUCUGUAACUGACGCUGAUGUGCGAAAGCGUGGGGAUCAAACAGGAUUAGAUACCCUGGUAGUCCACGCCGUAAACGAUGAGUGCUAAGUGUUAGGGGGUUUCCGCCCCUUAGUGCUGCAGCUAACGCAUUAGCACUCCGCCUGGGGAGUACGACCGCAAGGUUGAAACUCAAAGGAAUUGACGGGGACCGCACAAGCGGUGGAGCAUGUGGUUUAAUUCGAAGCAACGCGAAGAACCUACCAAAUCUUGACAUCCUUUGACCG